UACCCUUGACAUGUCGUGGAUCGGUCUCAGAGAUGAGAUCUUCUCUUCGGAGCCGCGAACACAGGUGCUGCAUGGCUGUCGUCAGCUCGUGUCGUGAGAUGUUGGGUUAAGUCCCGCAACGAGCGCAACCCUUGCCUUUAGUUGCCAUCAUUCAGUUGGGCACUCUAGAGGGACUGCCGGUGAUAAGCCGGAGGAAGGUGGGGAUGACGUCAAGUCCUCAUGGCCCUUACGGGUAGGGCUACACACGUGCUACAAUGGUGGUGACAGUGGGCAGCGACACAGUGAUGUGAUGCUAAUCUCUAAAAGCCAUCUCAGUUCAGAUUGUACUCUGCAACUCGAGUACAUGAAGUUGGAAUUGCUAGUAAUCGCUAAUCAGCAGGUAGCGGUGAAUACGUUCCCGGGCC
rnacentral:rRNA from 1 species